rnacentral:rRNA from 1 species
UACGGGGGGGGCAAGCGUUGUUCGGAAUUACUGGGCGUAAAGGGCGCGUAGGCGGCCUACUAAGUCGGACGUGAAAUCCCUCGGCUCAACCGGGGAACUGCGUCCGAUACUGGUGGGCUCGAAUCCGGGAGAGGGAUGUGGAAUUCCAGGUGUAGCGGUGAAAUGCGUAGAUAUCUGGAGGAACGCCGGUGGCGAAGGCGGCAUCCUGGACCGGUAUUGACGCUGAUGCGCGAAAGCCAGGGGAGCAAACGGG